rnacentral:rRNA from 1 species
GAUGAACGCUGGCGGCGUGCCUAAUACAUGCAAGUCGAGCGAACGGACGAGAAGCUUGCUUCUCUGAUGUUAGCGGCGGACGGGUGAGUAACACGUGGAUAACCUACCUAUAAGACUGGGAUAACUUCGGGAAACCGGAGCUAAUACCGGAUAAUAUUUUGAACCGCAUGCUUCAAAAGUGAAAGACGGUCUUGCUGUCACUUAUAGAUGGAUCCGCGCUGCAUUAGCUAGUUGGUAAGGUAACGGCUUACCAAGGCAACGAUGCAUAGCCGACCUGAGAGGGUGAUCGGCCACACUGGAACUGAGACACGGUCCAGACUCCUACGGGAGGCAGCAGUAGGGAAUCUUCCGCAAUGGGCGAAAGCCUGACGGAGCAACGCCGCGUGAGUGAUGAAGGUCUUCGGAUCGUAAAACUCUGUUAUUAGGGAAGAACAUAUGUGUAAGUAACUGUGCACAUCUUGACGGUACCUAAUCAGAAAGCCACGGCUAACUACGUG